UACGAGGGGGGCAAAUGUUGUUCGGAAUCACUGGGCGUAAAGGGUGCGUAGGCGGGUCUUUAAGUCAGGGGUGAAAUCCUGGAGCUCAACUCCAGAACUGCCUUUGAUACUGAGGAUCUUGAGUUCGGGAGAGGUGAGUGGAACUGCGAGUGUAGAGGUGAAAUUCGUAGAUAUUCGCAAGAACACCAGUGGCGAAGGCGGCUCACUGGCCCAUUACUGACGCUGAGGCACGAAAGCGUGGGGAGCAAACAGGG
rnacentral:rRNA from 1 species